GUAGGUGGCAAGCGUGUCGGAAUUAUUGGGCGCAAAGCGCGCGCAGGUGGUUCUUUAAGUCUGAUGUGGGAAGCCCCCGGCUCAACCGGGGAGGGUCAUUGGAAACUGGGGAAUUGAGUGCAGGAGAGGAAAGUGGAAUUCCACGUGUAGCGGUGAAAUGCGUAGAUAUGUGGAGGAACACCAGUGGCGAAGGCGACUUUCAGGCCUGUAACUGACACUGAGGCGCGAAAGCGUGGGGAGCAAACAGGAUUAGAUACCCUGGUAGUCCACGCCGUAAACGAUGAGUGCUAAGUGUUGGGGGGUUUCCGCCCCCUCAGUGCUGCAGCUAACGCAUUAAGCACUCCGCCUGGGGAGUACGGUCGCAAAGACUG
rnacentral:rRNA from 1 species